GAUGAAGAACGUAGUGAAAUGCGAUAAGUAAUGUGAAUUGCAGAAUUCAGUGAAUCAUCGAAUCUUUGAACGCACAUUGCGCCCGCCAGUAUUCUGGCGGGCAUGCCUGUUCGAGCGUCAUUUCAACCCUCAAGCACUGCUUGGUGUUGGGGACCGGCUUGCCUUCAGCGCCUGCCGCCCCCGAAAUACAGUGGCGGUCUCGCCGCAGCCUCCUCUGCGUAGUAGUUUACAACCUCGCAUACGGAGCGCGGCGCGGCCACGCCGUAAAACCCCCUACUUUCAAAGGUUGACCUCGAAUCAGGUAGGAAUACCCGCUGAACUUAAGCAUAUCAAUAAGCGGAGGA
rnacentral:misc_RNA from 1 species